AGUUGGUCCAAGUGCAGUGGUGUUUACAACUAAUUGAUCACAACUAAUUACAGAUUCCUUUGUUUCUUCUCCAUUCCCACUGCCUCUUUUGACCAGCCUAAA
rnacentral:Y_RNA from 1 species